UAUUAAUUUUUAUUUUUCAGGCUUCAUCGUAUGUUAUGGAAUUGGUCCUGGAAUCCCAUUCAGUCCGCUGUCGUCAGGGAGCCGCGAUCUUAGCAUGCAGAAACGGACGAGGAUAGUCUUGCCGGAAAGAUGCAGGAAAGUGCAAUUUGGGUGGCUGAUAUAUAUGUGAGUCCCUGAGCGCUGUCUGGGCCGCUGCAUUAUGUGGCCGCCGCGCCGGGAGCUUGGAGCCGCCAGACCAGGAAUUAGUUGACGUGGGCCGCCGCAUCGACAGGAUAUGAAGUGCAUGCAAACAAAUUGACAUAGGAAUUGAAUGUAGUCGUCACACCGCCCAAGGCCA